AUGGGGGAAGAUCGGGAAGAGGAAGCGGAUGAGGAUUUCGGCCACCUGGGUCCAGAUCCAAACCUAGAGGAUGCGUUCGAAGGCAUGAACCUGCAUGGGGAGGAAGAAGAAGACCUAGACCUGUCUGGAGAAGUGGAUGAUCUGAUAAGGGAUGUGCGGUGGUUGGCUCUGUUUAGGGUUUACACGAUGAGACCGUUUAGCCAUGCAGCGUUGCUAAAUUCGAUGAGGAACGCGUGGACAUGCGCGCAAGGGGUUAUGUUCAACAUCAAGGGGCCGAAUUUGUUCUUGGCUCAAUGUCACUGUCUUGGAGAUUGGAAGAGGGUAAUGGAGGGAGGCCCAUGGCAGUUUCGAAGGGAUCCAGUGAUUCUUGUUGAAUAUGAUGGCUUCACGGAUGUGGCAGAGUAUGCACUGGACAUGUAUCCAUUAUGGGCGCGUAUUAAGGGCCUCCCGGACGGCCUCACAAGGAAGAAAGAGUUAGCGGAGAAGGUGGCAAAGAAGGUGGGGAAGCCACCUUUUAUAGCGAUUGUUAAUGAGGGGAGGAUAAACCCUUUAAAUCAUCUUCAAGUAAGAGUUUUCGUGAAUGUGGAUGAACCUUUGGUGAGAUUUGUGCCGAUCACUUUGAAGGAGAUGAAGAAGUAUCCAGUUAGAUAUGAGAAGCUCCCAGAUUUCUGUUUUUUGUGGACGCAUGGGGCAUGUAGUGGAGGAAUGCGGUGA
rnacentral:rRNA from 1 species